rnacentral:rRNA from 1 species
CAGCCGUAAACUAUGCGCGUUAGGUGUAUCGGUGACCACGAGUUACCGAGGUGCCGAAGGGAAACCGUGAAACGUGCCGCCUGGGAAGUACGGUCGCAAGGCUGAAACUUAAAGGAAUUGGCGGGGGGAGCACCACAACAGGUGGAGCCUGCGGUUUAAUUGGACUCAACGCCGGGAAGCUCACCGGAUAGGACAGCAGAAUGAUUGCCGGGCUGAAGACCCUGCAUGACUAGCUGAGAGGUGGUGCAUGGCGUCAGUGACU